AUUGAACGCUGGCGGCAUGCCUUACACAUGCAAGUCGAACGGCAGCACGGGGCAACCUGGUGGCGAGUGGCGAACGGGUGAGAAAUGCAUCGGAACGUACCUUUCAGUGGGGGAUAACGUAGCGAAAGUUACGCUAAUACCGCAUAUUCUGUGAGCAGGAAAGCAGGGGAUCGCAAGACCUUGCGCUGAUUGAGCGGCCGAUGUCAGAUUAGCUAGUUGGAGAGGUAAAGGAUCACCAAGGGGAGGAUCUGUAGCGGGUCUGAGAGGAUGACUCGCCACACUGGAACUGAGGCACGGUCCAGCCUCCUACGGGAGGAAGCAGUGGGGAAUUUUGGACAAGGGGGGCAACCCUGAUCCAGCCAUGCCGCGUGAGUGAAGAAGGCCUUCGGGUUGUAAAGCUCUUUCGGCCGGGAAGAAAUCGCACGGGCUAAUACCCUGUGUGGGUGACGGUACCGGAAUAAGAAGCACCGGCUAACUACGUGCCAGCAGCCGCCGUAAGAC
rnacentral:rRNA from 1 species